GAUGAAGAACGUAGCGAAAUGCGAUAAGUAAUGUGAAUUGCAGAAUUCAGUGAAUCAUCGAAUCUUUGAACGCACAUUGCGCCCGCCAGUAUUCUGGCGGGCAUGCCUGUUCGAGCGUCAUUUCAACCCUCAGGGCCCUUUUGGACCUGGCGUUGGGGCUCGGCCGCUACCCUGCGGCCGUCCCCGAAAGAUAGUGGCGGUCUCGCUGUAGCCUCCUCUGCGUAGUAGUUACAUCUCGCACUGGAACGCGGCGCGGCCAUGCCGUUAACCACCCCACUUCUCAAGGUUGACCUCGGAUCAGGUAGGAAUACCCGCUGAACUUAAGCAUAUCAAUAAGCGGAGGA
rnacentral:misc_RNA from 1 species